rnacentral:lncRNA from 1 species
CUCUGCCUUCCUUCUUUGCAGGGAACUUCGAAGCCUCUGUUUCCUCGUUGUCCAUCAUUCUCCAAUCCCUGGUAUUCCGGUUUGCACCACUAGGACACUACUGAGACGGCUCCUGGAGCGGCACCACAGCCUCUCGAUGCCAAAUGAGGAGCGCUUAGCGACAGCGAUGAUGACCCACUCUGAAAGAAGUGUUCUUCCGCGUCCGCUGUGGCACCCCUGGUUUUCCUCGUAAUUCUACCGACUAACGUCUGCACAGCCCUUUCUCUGCAUCACCUUUACCGUGGGCUGGGCUUCUUUGCUGACUCCUCUUUCUCUCCACUCUCUAAACCCUGCAGACACCCUCCUCUCCCCUCAGAGAGCGCCCCUCGGAGCCUUCCAGCCUCUCACCUCGGCACUGAUGACCCCCAGAUGCCCAGCUCGCAGCUUGCAGCUCGCAGCUCCGUACCCACCACCUCCAGAGCUCAGCCCUCAGUGUGUCAAGCUCCUGCCACCCACCUCAGUCUUCAUCUCCCCCAACACCACCCCCCGCCCACGCUACGGCUGCUUCACUUCCUCAUUCCUGUUGCAACCACCACCAUCUUCCAGUUGCGC